CCUACUAUGUGCCGGACACUGUUCUAGUCACUGGGGAUUCAGCAGUGAACAAAACAAAGCCUCUGUGCUCCUGGACCUAACAUUCUGGGGAAAGGGUAAAUGCAGGUAGUAAAGUACAUCAUGGUCAAGAUGGUGAUAAUCUAUGGAGACAGAUCACACUGGGAGUGGAGUAGGGAGGGAUUAGUGGAGUGUUCUGUGAACACUCAAGGAAAUCAGUUCAUAUGGACAUGUGUGGAAGGAGCAAUUUGGGAAGUAGGGACACGCAGUGUAGAUGCUGAGCAAGAAGCCAGGAUGGCUGCAGUUGGGGGUGGCAGAGAGGAGAUGAGAUAAAGACUGGGUUGGCAAAUGAUGUAGGAUUCUCUGACUUCAGAACCUGGGCUCUUGAAAGGAACAUGGGAUGAAGAUGCAGUAUGAGCACUGGGGUGCAUUCUAAGUUGUCAUAAGGUUGGCAAACGAAAAAGACUGUGAGCUUUUGCUCUUGAGAAAGGUUCCAGUAAGAUCCAAAGAAAGAAUCUUCGCAAAGGGGUGGAGGCUUCGCCAAGGCCCCCAGACCUCUACUUCAUCUGAAGCUUCAGGGUGGGUCACCUGAGGAUGCCUCUUUUAGGGAAGUGACUUCAAAUCAGCUUGGGAUUGGAGGAGACUCUCUGGGAGAUAAUCUGGCCCAGAGCUGCAAUACUGAGGACAAUUUCAUCAGCAUUGACAGUGCAUCUGAGGAGAGGCUGGUCACAGCAAACAAACCAUCACCCAGGACAACAGGAGUGAAGGCAGAGAGCAAGUCUGCACAGUAAGAUUAGCUUGUACAAAAACACUGCUCAACCAACUCAGCUCUGCUCACUGCACUCAUCAGAAUAUGAAUGCCACAGCCCAUGUUGGAGUCAGUUGCAAAACUCAUCUGCAGUUAGACAUCCUAAGACUCAACCCAUACCACUGACUGAUAUGGAAACUGAGGCCCAGCAAGGGAAACUAAUGAACAUCCCAUCAAACACCAAGGGAGGGGCUGAACCAGGAUGGAAACUUAGCUCUGGCCAAACCAUCAUUCUAGACAGUUAUUCCUAGAGUUAAAAAAAAGAAGAAAUUUCACAGAAUUCCCAGGUUUGCAGAAAAGCCACUGAUUGAGCUGCUGUGUUUGUGUCCAUGCAAGCAACUGCAGCCACCUCUACAAUUCAGUUUAGUGACUUUAUUUAUUUAUUUAUUUAGGCAACCUGGCCAUUCAACAUCUGCCUCUUGGAGGGCCCUGUGGAAAACUGUGUGGCCAUAAUGUGAGCCACUCCCAAGAGAAAGGUUCUUAGUCAGCAAAGGUGGUCACGCUAGUUGGAAGAGUCAAAAGGAAUUAAACUCCUGUCCCAUGAUCUUUAGAUCUAACAGAGGCACUGGUUCCCUCUUUCAAAGCUUUUUGUAGGAAGGCCUGUCAUUUGUGAGGCUCUCUGGCUUCAGGCUUCUGCCUAUCUUCUGCGAGGCACUGAAUCCCAAAAGAAGUGGAAAGUGGUUGGUCGGGGACAGUGGUGUGCUGGUAGACCCGCUCUCUGGGGGAUGGUAAAGGAAAGCCUUGGUUUCCUGCAUUUGCCCGAUAUCUGUGGUGCAAAUACUUUCCCCAUGGUGGCUUUCAAGCUACCAAGGAUUCACAACCGGCUCACAGAAUUCCUGAAAAUUUAACAAUCCACUCUCAUGCGCCUGCUGCAGCCAUUUCCAGCCCACCUCUGUAGCUCUCUAAACAGCAGGGCCUCAUGGAUGAGACUAGAGAGGGGAGAUGUAGCUGGCUCUGUUUAAUUCUGUGAGGUCAAACCACACCUGGGAGGGUGUGUCUGGUUUCAAAGCCUACAUUGUAAGAGGAACAUAGGCACACUGAAAAUUGUUUGAUUUGGGCAAGAAGCAAUUUCGUCUGAAAAGCCCACCGGGAGACCUAUUGCUGGAAUGAGAAUCCAGGGGAAGAAAAACACAGGGUAUCCUGGCCAUUGUUUCCAAAUCUCUGUGGGGCUGUAAGGUACUUUUCCUGAGGCGUGGAAUCUGAACAAAUGGGUUGGGGAGGCGUCUAGAACCGGGAUGCUGAUUUCAGCUCAACCUAGGACUUUUCCGAUAAAGCCACCCAGAGAAAGGCAGAGCUGCCUGGCACCAUGAGGAAUGCCAUCACUAAAAGAAUAGCAUAAAGAACAUAGGGCACCCACUAGGUGGGGCUGUGACCGUGGGGACUCCAGGGGCCCCUUCUAGUUCCUGGGGUCUGAUCCUGCAAUGGACUCUUCUUCCUUUUCCUAGGUAGCCAGUUUUAUCUUCUCACUUUCCACUCCCCUUUUCUCUUUCUCCUCUUUCCUGGGCUCUUUUUCUUAGCUGCCUUUAGCCUCUUUACUGGGUUGAUCUUCCUUCUGGGACAUUGACCUCUAGAGCUUCCUGCACAGAGCGGACUCAGCCCCUUCUCUUUCUCAGGACCCACUUACACCCCCGGGGGAGAGAGCAGGGGCCCUCCUUGUCUUAUUUUUCCUUGCUUUCUCUUCUCUCUUCCAACAUUCUCAGCUCCACAUUUGUGAUUGAAGAAGGGCAAAUAAACAAAUUGAAACUGAAACUGAGCAUUGGCCAUAAAGUGAGGACAUCUGGGAGGCUUGUAAGGAAAUUUACAUGCUUGCCUGGUUUCAGGUUGCAUAUUUUGUGUUGCCUGGUAACAAGCCCAGCGUUCCCUUUCAUGCUUUAUUCUCCUCCUAUCCCCUGUUUAUAGUGUAAUUACCACUGUGACAUCAUAAUCCCUCAUUGAACAGCUGUCAGGGGGGCCCAACUGCUGAGUAAACAGGGCUUUAUAAUCUCUCCUCCCAUGGGCUGGUUUACUAAAUAGAUCAAUAUUUGGUUUGUAGGCACAGAGAUUAGGAGGUGGAAAUGUCUUUUGAAAAAGCCCAAUCUCUUCCCAGGGCCCUGAGUGCACCUGAGAAUGCUGAAAAGAAAAGCCAAGUUCACGGACAAAAAAAGAAUCACCCAAGCUGCUUUCACCUGCCUGCGAUUUCCCAGGAAGCCAGUUUGUCUUUAAGAAGUGAGACCCAUUUGAGAAUGAGUAAUGUCUUAGGCUCUUUAGUCUAAUGCUUAGAGAAUUCCACUUUCUUCUUUCGCUCGGCCUCCCCCUGAGCUCCCCUUUCUCUGUCCCCAACUCCAUUUUAUUUAAUCUUUCUAAAUGGAUAUUGUAGCCUCAGGGACUAAAAGAAUGACACAUGGAUAAACAGGAACUAAGCUCCUAAGCUUUUCCCCUACCUGCCAUCUUCCUCACCACGCAUGAGGAUUAGAAGCAUCACAAAGAAAGCAGUCUCGGAAGUUUGUCAAAUAGAGAUUUCUGGGUGAUGGUUUGGGAAAGGAUGAUUUAGAUCGUGCCUCUCCUGGGUCGGGAAAGUGACUGAAACACAUAACAGCAGAGAACUUGAAGUGCUGGUUUGAGCUUCAGGAGAUGUGAGUUCUAGCCCCAGUGCUGCCUGUGAUUUUCUCUGUGACCUGGGACAAGUCCCUUGUGGAUACGACAGGAUAUGCGGGCUACAGGGAUCUCUGAGGCUUCUCCCAGUGAACUUCUCUCAUAUUCUACAUCUUAAGACAAUGGAUAUAUUUUCUCAAACUGGUCAGACAGUUAAAGAGUCAUCUUACAGAUUAUAAAAUAUAUACAUGGCAAGAGAACCAGGACAAUGACUGACUAUGUGACUAUGACUAUGUGACUAUGACCGUAAGACACUAUGAAUGGCUCUUUCUUCCCUAAGCCUGCAUCUGGCUUCAGACCCUUCUCAGCAAGAAGCUCCAGAAAGCUACUAAUGAUUGAUCAAGAUUAAAUGCAACUUGAAAACGAUUUUCCAUCCUUGCUUUAGAUUUCAUCACCAUUUGAAGUUAGUUGUCUAAUUUCCUAA
rnacentral:lncRNA from 1 species